AGGCGGUUCCACCAGGGAAGCCUCUGGAACGUUCGGGAAGGUUCCAGGAGGGGUGUGGCCAGAGGCGGGGCUUAGUCCCAGGGUAGGGGGAUAUAAGCGGGACACAGAGCAACGUAAGGGGUCGGUGUUGAAGACUGAAGAGGAGCCCCGCCGCUGCUGCCCCGCCAUCUCCAUCAACCAAGUGGCGGCUCGUCCUCCAGCCGCCCAGCCGCUCCCUGGAGCACCGUCAGCCAGCGGUUUCCGUGGAGGACGCAUAUGCCCUGCCUCGCAUGGAUGAUUCGUUGGAUGCGUUGGCCGGAGCGCGGUUUUUCUCUACACUUGAUUUGUCUUCUGGGUUCUGGCAACUGCCCUUCGAUGAGUCUUCGAGGCAGAAGACCACGUUCCACACUCCCCAAGCCUGUUUCUUUGCCGUCCACAGCGCCCCUGAAGGUAAUGGCGGACCCGGUGGACGUCGCCAUUUCCCCGUGCCCAUAUGCGGGGGAUCUGGCCGGACCGCCCAUUGUUGGACCACUACCUCCACUAGCCGGUGUUCCUGUUUCGCCACUGACGGAUGGACCGGCUAUGCGGACACGCUCAAAAUCGUCACGAUUUUCUUAAGCGGUUUCAAAUUCGGGUUGCGUGUUUUUCCGCUGUGUUGUUGUUGCGUUGGGGGGGUCCAACAUUCCGUUAUAAUUCUCUCUUCGAGUUGUGUUCUGUUCAUGGGGCUAAUGGUGCUCUGUUGUGUUGCCCUUCCUUAGCCGGGACGGCUAAAAAAAUUACACAGGGAGGGGGGGGGGGGAU